AACGAACGCUGGCGGCGUGCCUAACACAUGCAAGUCGAACGAGAAAGGGGCUUCGGCUCCGAGUAAAGUGGCGCACGGGUGGGUAACACGUGGGUAACCUGCCUCUCAGAUUGGGAUAACUCGUCGAAAGAUGAGCUAAUACCGAAUAAGACCACAGUUCCCACGGGAACAGGCGUCAAAGGUAGCCUCUGCUUGCAAGCUAUCACUUGGAGAUGGGCCUGCGCACCAUUAGCUAGUUGGUAGGGUCACGGCCUACCAAGGCAAAGAUGGUUAGCUGGUCUGGGGAGAAGGACAGGCAACAUGGGACUGGGAACAGGGCCAAGACUCCACGGGAGGGAGGAGGGGGGAAAAUUGCGCAAGGGGGGAAAGGCUGAAGCAGCAAAGCCGGGGGAGGGAGGAAGGGCUUCGGGUCGUAAAACCCUGUCGGGAGGAACGAAAGCUCCGGAGGUUAAAAGCCUCGGGAGGUGACGGUACCUACAAAGGAAGCACCGGCUAACUCUGUG
rnacentral:rRNA from 1 species